GAUGAACGCUGGCGGCGUGCUUAACACAUGCAAGUCGAACGGAAAGGCCCAAGCUUGCUUGGGUACUCGAGUGGCGAACGGGUGAGUAACACGUGGGUGAUCUGCCCUGCACUUCGGGAUAAGCCUGGGAAACUGGGUCUAAUACCGGAUAGGACCACAUUUUGGAUGGUGUGGUGGAAAGUUUUUCGGUGUGGGAUGAGCUCGCGGCCUAUCAGCUUGUUGGUGGGGUAGUGGCCUACCAAGGCGUCGACGGGUAGCCGGCCUGAGAGGGUGUACGGCCACAUUGGGACUGAGAUACGGCCCAGACUCCUACGGGAGGCAGCAGUGGGGAAUAUUGCACAAUGGGCGCAAGCCUGAUGCAGCGACGCCGCGUGGGGGAUGACGGCCUUCGGGUUGUAAACUCCUUUCGCUAGGGACGAAGCGCAAGUGACGGUACCUGGAGAAGAAGCACCGGCUAACUACGUG
rnacentral:rRNA from 1 species